AUUCUGCCCAAUCAGAUUUGAGCAGCAGUGUCUGCAGGCUGUUCAUAACAUCAUAAUCAGGAUCAAGCUUCCUCUGCCAGCCCUGCAAGGCAAUAAGCAUAUCAUCAAAAGAAUAAAAAUCGUAAACCAGAAAUGCAGAUUAAUCAAUUCCAACAUCUUACUCAUGAACUCUACAUUUGCUAAAAAGGGUAGAAUUACCUCGAGGACUAAAGUUGUCACCAUAACAGUGCAGACAUUGCCAUCGAUGUUCACUCUGUGAUGCCUAACUUUCUCAAGAAGUUGUUCAAUGCAAUCCGCAGGGUGAACCAAACCACCUUCCGGAGUCCCCCAAAAAUCAAAUGACUCCUUCACUUCCUGUAGGACGUCAGUGAAAUACUAAGGCAUAAAUCCGUCACCUCCAUUUAUGAGAAAAUGAUAAGUAAGUCUUUUAGCAUAAAGAUAUCAUGUACAAUAAUGGGACUAAACUCUCCAUGCCAUAGUAGUUAGUUGUUGACAAAUCAGAAAUUCGUGAACAAAAAUGUGUAUAAAUAUUGAACUUGAAGAAUGUAGAUCCAAUUAUAUAUAAUCUCAUUAAUUGCCAAAAA